AUAUGGCUCAGUUGGUAGAGCGCACCCUUGGUAAGGGUGAGGUCCCCAUUUCGACUCUGGUUAU
rnacentral:tRNA from 1 species